rnacentral:lncRNA from 1 species
AUGGUGAACUUCGUGACUCCCUGGGUGACCAUUUUCAGCUCAGGGGAGAAGCACUUUCGCAAGAGUAUAGCUUGUUCACUGGGUAUGUGGGUGGCCCGGGGGCUGGGGGUUCCCUUGACCACCCAGGCCAGGCAGAAGGCGAACCGCUCCUUGGUGAGGUAUUGCAGAAACACCUGCUCGGCCUCACCUUGCUUUUCCUGGGGGCAGGAUCUGGCUGUGUUGUCCUUGAAUGGCUCCCUCCUGGUCCACCCUUGCACGGCCAGCCUGGCAGCUCAGGUAUCUUCUGGGGACACCUUCGCCCGGGCCCACAUCCACACAGCCUGCGGCCACCACCAUACCCAUCUGGACACCAGCCUCCAACACGCAUGGCCUCCACUUCAGGCGCUCGGGGUCGCCCCCGACAACCAUAUCCAAGUGUCUGUGGGGGGACACAAACACCCCAGGGCCAGGCUGGCGGUGGCCUUGGGCCAGUGCACCCUGACUGCUCAUGGGGAUGUCAUUACUGAGGCCAACACCACACACGCCAACUGGACCCUGUCGGUGGUGAAUCGCUGUCCCCCGCUGGAGGGUCUGGGCCUCCCAGCAGGGACACAGUUCAGCGGCUCCCUGCAGGCCGCAGGUGGGGAAGCCAAGGUGGCAGGGACCCUCACAUCGGCCAGUGGGACAGCCUCCCUGACCUUGACAGCGGUCGUGCACCAGUCCGAGGCCACGCUUCGAGUGAAACUGAGUCACAGGCUGUCUGCACUGCAGGCCUGUCCCCCCAGAGACCUUGCUGACCGUCCGGCUCCAGUGGGAGGCCGGGCACCGGCUGGGUCUGGAGCUGCAGGUGGGGGCCUGUGA